rnacentral:rRNA from 1 species
AGAGCGAACGCUGGCGGCAGGCUUAACACAUGCAAGUCGAACGGGCACCUUCGGGUGUCAGUGGCAGACGGGUGAGUAACACGUGGGAACGUACCCUUCGGUUCGGGAUAACUCAGGGAAACUUGUGCUAAUACCGGAUACGCCCUUACGGGGAAAGAUUUAUUGCCGAAGGAUCGGCCGCGUCUGAUUAGCUAGUUGGUGAGGUAACGGCUCACCAAGGCGACGAUCAGUAGCUGGUCUGAGAGGAUGAUCAGCCACAUUGGGACUGAGACACGGCCCAGACUCCUACGGGAGCAGCAGUGGGAAUAUUGGACAAUGGGCGAAAGCCUGAUCCAGCCAUGCGCGUGAGUGAUGAAGGCCCUAGGUUGUAAAGCUCUUUCGGCGGGGACGAUAAUGACGGUACCGCAGAAGAAGCCCGGACUAACUUCGUGUCAGCAGCCGC